GUCAUCCAUCUUGCAUUUUUAUUUUAUUUUUUCUAGUGCUUUCUUCUACUAAAAAGGAAAGAGAAGAGAACAAGGAUUUAGUGUGAUUGUAUUAUACUGCAGGUGGGGAAACCAUCUUGGCUGCAAAGCUAGCAAAAGAGCGAGGAUGGGCCAUCAAUGUGGGAGGACUGGGUUUAUCAUUGUUGUGGGGGAAAAGGAGGUGGAUUCUGUGCUUAUACCGAUAUUUCUCUUUGCAUACAUUUUGUGCAGGUGCGGUUAAACAUACUCAAGGGUGAUGAUUAUUAAUCUUGAUGCCCAUCCAGGAAAUGGCCAUGAAACAAAUUUUGCCAAUGACAGAUUAUGAAGCAAAGAGAUUCAUUGAUCAGAGGGUUAAAGUAGCGGUGAGUCGAGUGGCACUACAACAACCGAGUACUUGAGAAAGAUGAAGCUCUUGGG